rnacentral:rRNA from 1 species
AUUGAACGCUGGCGGCAGGCCUAACACAUGCAAGUCGAGCGGAUGAAGGGAGCUUGCUCCUGGAUUCAGCGGCGGACGGGUGAGUAAUGCCUAGGAAUCUGCCUGGUAGUGGGGGAUAACGUCCGGAAACGGGCGCUAAUACCGCAUACGUCCUGAGGGAGAAAGUGGGGGAUCUUCGGACCUCACGCUAUCAGAUGAGCCUAGGUCGGAUUAGCUAGUUGGUGGGGUAAAGGCCUACCAAGGCGACGAUCCGUAACUGGUCUGAGAGGAUGAUCAGUCACACUGGAACUGAGUCACGGUCCAGACCCCUACGGGAGGCAGCAGUGGGGAAUAUUGGACAAUGGGCGAAAGCCUGAUCCAGCCAUGCCGCGUGUGUGAAGAAGGUCUUCGGAUUGUAAAGCACUUUAAGUUGGGAGGAAGGGCAGUAAGUUAAUACCUUGCUGUUUUGACGUUACCAACAGAAUAAGCACCGGCUAACUUCGUG